rnacentral:rRNA from 1 species
UACGUAGGGCGCAAGCGUUGUCCGGAAUUAUUGGGCGUAAAGAGCUCGUAGGCGGUUUGUCGCGUCUGCUGUGAAAACCUCAGGCUCAACCUGGGGCUUGCAGUGGGUACGGGCAGACUAGAGUGCGGUAGGGGUGACUGGAAUUCCUGGUGUAGCGGUGAAAUGCGCAGAUAUCAGGAGGAACACCGAUGGCGAAGGCAGGUCUCUGGGCAUUAACUGACGCUGGAGGAGCGAAAGCAUGGGGAGCGAACAGG